rnacentral:rRNA from 1 species
UACGUAGGUGGCAAGCGUUGUCCGGAUUUACUGGGCGUAAAGAGCGCGCAGGCGGUCGAGUAAGUCGAAUGUGAAAGCCCCCGGCUUAACUGGGGAGGGUCAUUCGAUACUGAUCGACUCGAAGGCAGGAGAGGGUAGUGGAAUUCCCGGUGUAGUGGUGAAAUGCGUAGAUAUCGGGAGGAACACCAGUGGCGAAGGCGACUACCUGGCCUGUUUCUUGACGCUGAGGCGCGAAAGCUAGGGGAGCAAACGGG